rnacentral:lncRNA from 1 species
AAAAAAUGAUGCAAGCCAUUUAUGCACAAAUGUUGCCACUUUCAUAUGGAAACAAGAAACAUCACCUUUCUUUAAGCCAUCAAGAUCUUCCAUCAAAAGACCUUUCACCUUUCUUCACUGAGAAAAUCAAGGACAGCAGACAUGAAUAUAUUCAAGUUUUUCUGCAUCUUUUGUUCAAGGUUAAUUCUUUCCAGAUAGUGUUCAACUUUGGACUUCCUUGGCAGUACAAUGGUUAAGAAUCCACCUUCCAAUGCAGGGGACAUGGAUUUGAUCCCUGG